GAAAAAGUAUGCAAGAGCUGCUAACUCAUGUACCCGCGUAUAACAACGCGGCUUUUUCC
rnacentral:tRNA from 1 species